rnacentral:rRNA from 1 species
GACGAACGCUGGCGGCGUGCCUAAUACAUGCAAGUAGAACGCACAGUUUAUACCGUAGCUUGCUACACCAUAGACUGUGAGUUGCGAACGGGUGAGUAACGCGUAGGUAACCUGCCUGGUAGCGGGGGAUAACUAUUGGAAACGAUAGCUAAUACCGCAUAAUAUUAAUUAUUGCAUGAUAAUUAAUUGAAAGGUGCAAUUGCACCACUACCAGAUGGACCUGCGUUGCAUUAGCUAGUAGGUGAGGUAACGGCUCACCUAGGCGACGAUACAUAGCCGACCUGAGAGGGUGAUCGGCCACACUGGGACUGAGACACGGCCCAGACGCCUACGGGAGGCAGCAGUAGGGAAUCUUCGGCAAUGGACGAAAGUCUGACCGAGCAACGCCGCGUGAGUGAAGAAGGUUUUCGGAUCGUAAAGCUCUGUUGUAAGAGAAGAACGGGUGUGAGAGUGGAAAGUUCACACUGUGACGGUAUCUUACCAGAAAGGGACGGCUAACUACGUG